AACGCUAGCUACAGGCUUAACACAUGCAAGUCGAGGGGCAGCAUGGUCUUAGCUUGCUAAGGCCGAUGGCGACCGGCGCACGGGUGAGUAACACGUAUCCAACCUGCCGUCUACUCUUGGACAGCCUUCUGAAAGGAAGAUUAAUACAGGAUGGCAUCAUGAGUCCGCAUGUUCACAUGAUUAAAGGUAUUCCGGUAGACGAUGGGGAUGCGUUCCAUUAGAUAGUAGGCGGGGUAACGGCCCACCUAGUCUUCGAUGGAUAGGGGUUCUGAGAGGAAGGUCCCCCACAUUGGAACUGAGACACGGUCCAAACUCCUACGGGAGGCAGCAGUGAGGAAUAUUGGUCAAUGGGCGAGAGCCUGAACCAGCCAAGUAGCGUGAAGGAUGACUGCCCUAUGGGUUGUAAACUUCUUUUAUAAAGGAAUAAAGUCGGGUAUGCAUACCCGUUUGCAUGUACUUUAUGAAUAAGGAUCGGCUAACUCCGUGCCAGCAGCCGCGGUAAUACGGAGGAUCCGAGCGUUAUCCGGAUUUAUUGGGUUUAAAGGGAGCGUAGAUGGAUGUUUAAGUCAGUUGUGAAAGUUUGCGGCUCAACCGUAAAAUUGCAGUUGAUACUGGAUAUCUUGAGUGCAGUUGAGGCAGGCGGAAUUCGUGGUGUAGCGGUGAAAUGCUUAGAUAUCACGAAGAACUCCGAUUGCGAAGGCAGCCUGCUAAGCUGCAACUGACAUUGAGGCUCGAAAGUGUGGGUAUCAAACAGGAUUAGAUACCCUGGUAGUCCACACGGUAAACGAUGAAUACUCGCUGUUUGCGAUAUACAGCAAGCGGCCAAGCGAAAGCGUUAAGUAUUCCACCUGGGGAGUACGCCGGCAACGGUGAAACUCAAAGGAAUUGACGGGGGCCCGCACAAGCGGAGGAACAUGUGGUUUAAUUCGAUGAUACGCGAGGAACCUUACCCGGGCUUAAAUUGCAGAUGAAUUACGGUGAAAGCCGUAAGCCGCAAGGCAUCUGUGAAGGUGCUGCAUGGUUGUCGUCAGCUCGUGCCGUGAGGUGUCGGCUUAAGUGCCAUAACGAGCGCAACCCUUGUUGUCAGUUACUAACAGGUUCCGCUGAGGACUCUGACAAGACUGCCAUCGUAAGAUGUGAGGAAGGUGGGGAUGACGUCAAAUCAGCACGGCCCUUACGUCCGGGGCUACACACGUGUUACAAUGGGGGGGUACAGAGGGCCGCUACCACGCGAGUGGAUGCCAAUCCCAAAAACCUCUCUCAGUUCGGACUGGAGUCUGCAACCCGACUCCACGAAGCUGGAUUCGCUAGUAAUCGCGCAUCAGCCACGGCGCGGUGAAUACGUUCCCGGGCCUUGUACACACCGCCCGUCAAGCCAUGGGAGCCGGGGGUACCUGAAGUGCGUAACCGCGAGGAGCGCCCUAGGGUAAAACUGGUGACUGGGGC
rnacentral:rRNA from 1 species